rnacentral:lncRNA from 1 species
CCGGAGCUCGCGCUGCACUUCCUGAUCCCCGGUGGUCGAGGGAGAGGACUUGGGCUUUUCCGGUCACCGUGGGAGAUUUUAUACCCGGACGGGGCUGGACCCCCGGAGUCUGGGUCUUGAUUUCCCGUUCUGGGGAGCUGGGUGUGCCCGGUGUUGGGGAGGGGGGGCUACCCGCACCGCGGACCUGACCGGUGCCUGGGGUGUCCCGGCGCCAGGCGCUCUCCUAGCUCAGCCCUGUUGGGCAGACCGUGAAGAAUCGGAACUCGGUUCACACCAGUGGACAGCUGGCACGGACUGACUGGCAGGGACGUGGGCUUGAGCAUCUCGCAGGGUCGAGAGACGUCCAGCGCCUGCCCCAGCUCCGGGCCGUCCUAUCUGGCAAGUUGGUGGCUGCCAGUCACAUCAUGGUCUCCGUAGGUGGUGAUGAAGAGUUUGCCGAGGUAGAGGGGGAAUUUUGUUGAUUUAAUUUUCUUACUCUUAUGUAUUUCCUCUCACACAAAAGCAACCUUGAUUGCUUCCAGGACACAAUGGAUGAACAGGUGGUACAAGAAUAUGAAUGGAAAAACCCAGAAGAGACCUGUCAUGCUUAGGUGAUUUCCUCCCUCCCUCCCUCCCUCCUUCCUUCCUUCCUGUGCCUGGCACAGGGGACUGAAUCCAGAGGUGCUUAACCACUGAGCCACAUCCCCAGCCCGCCCCCCCCCCCACCCCGCUUUUGUUUUAUUUAGAGACAGGAUCUCAUUGAGUUGCUUAGGGCCUCACUAAGUUGCCGAGGCUGGCUUUGAACUUGCACUGGCUGUGUUUUUGUAUGACCUUCCGAAUGUUACAUUUCCCUCCCCAGAAAGUGGUUUCUUUCUACUAUGAUGGAUUUUAAAGUAUCUCCUGUAAAGGAAGAAAAAUCAUUUUCCCCUCCGUGCCCAUACGUUCUUAGGAGACAGCCCCGUAACAAAACACAGACUAAAAGAAAAAACAACAGAAGUUUAUCAACCUGUAUGUUUUCUGUGAAUGUGGGAGACACCAGGAAUUGAAAAACCAGCCUCUACCUCAGAGCAAAGCCUGUCCAAGGAAGGGACAUGACCUUUGUCCUUGGAAAGACCCAUAGAGCACUCCUAGGUACAUUCCCACCCUGCUAAGUGGUUUAAUCUACAAAUAACAGGAGAGAUCUGCUGAGCCAGGUGUCCCUGACUCAGUCAGGCUAGGUGGAGACCCAUAACAAUCCCCUAGCAGCCACCAAUCAGCAUGAGACAGGGAAAUACAUGGGAUGCUAGAUGACCCUCCCAGUAGUUUAUGGUGGUUGAUAACGUGUUGGGAAACCAUGUAGUUCAGCACGUACACCCCUCUUGGCUUAAACCAAUCAGUUCAAAUGAAUACCCCUUUUGUACUGACCAAUCAUCCUUACCCAACUUGUUCCCGCCAGUGAAUGUGCUAAUCAUGUUUUAGAGUUGUUAUUUGAUUUUCCCGUGGUGUGUGAUGAUUUGCUAAGAGAUGCUAUGAUGUAUGUGGGGGUCCCUGCCUUCUCCAAAGAAUGUAUAAAACUGCUGCAAACCCUGAGCUCGGGGCCUCUCAGCGUCACCAGUUGCUGUGUGUGCGCGUGGAGGACCAAGCUAGCUCGCAAUAAACACCUCUUUGCUGCUUAC